GAAAAAAAUGGCAAUCUAAAAAUGGCUACAUAAGGAAUACCAAGUAGACACAGACUCACACUGGGGAGCAGACGAGACAAGGAACACAGAGAGGAGCACCAGGAGAUAACUUAGAGCAUUCAAGUUGACUUUAGAAUGAAAAGGUGAUGACUAAGAGAUCACUGAUGGAAUCACGGUUAAAUAUCUCAAGGUCACCUUAGCCACCAGAUCCAGUCUGUAUCCAAGUCAGAGGGUCACUGCAGUCACCCAGAUUCAGUAUGUAUCCAUGGUGGAUCAGCACCUAGAAAGGACCUCUACAGCCCUGAAAGACAGUGGAGACCAGGACUAGAGCCCCAGAUACAGAUCCCCUGUAAAGACCUUGUCUCAGACGACCACCGGGACAGACCACAGGAAACAGAUGAUUCUUCUGCACAAUCUGACUUUGCUGCAGCCUGGAAU
ensembl:lncRNA